rnacentral:rRNA from 1 species
AAUGAACGCUGGCGGCAGGCCUAACACAUGCAAGUCGAGCGAGAACGCACCUUCGGGUGUUAUUAGAGCGGCAAACGGGUGAGUAACACGUGGGAAUGUACCUUUCGGUCUAGGAUAGCCCUGGGAAACUGGGAUUAAUACUGGAUACGCAUUACGAUGGAAAGAUUUAUCGCCGAAAGAUCAGCCCGCGCUAGAUUAGAUAGUUGGUGAGGUGAUGGCUCACCAAGUCUACGAUCUAUAGCUGGUUUGAGAGGAUGAUCAGCCACAUUGGGACUGAGAUACGGCCCAG